rnacentral:rRNA from 1 species
GGCGCGAGCAGGUGCGAAAGCAGGUCAUAGUGAUCCGGUGGUUCUGAAUGGAAGGGCCAUCGCUCAACGGAUAAAAGGUACUCCGGGGAUAACAGGCUGAUACCGCCCAAGAGUUCAUAUCGACGGCGGUGUUUGGCACCUCGAUGUCGGCUCAUCACAUCCUGGGGCUGAAGUAGGUCCCAAGGGUAUGGCUGUUCGCCAUUUAAAGUGGUACGCGAGCUGGGUUUAGAACGUCGUGAGACAGUUCGGUCCCUAUCUGCCGUGGGCGCUGGAGAACUGAGGGGGGCUGCUCCUAGUACGAGAGGACCGGAGUGGACGCAUCACUGGUGUUCGGGUUGUCAUGCCAAUGGCACUGCCCGGUAGCUAAAUGCGGAAGAGAUAAGUGCUGAAAGCAUCUAAGCACGAAACUUGCCCCGAGAUGAGUUCUCCCUGACCCUUUAAGGGUCCUGAAG